GAUGAACGCUGGCGGCGUGCCUAAUACAUGCAAGUCGAGCGAACGGACGAGAAGCUUGCUCCUCUGAUGUUAGCGGCGGACGGGUGAGUAACACGUGGAUAACCUACCUAUAAGACUGGGAUAACUUCGGGAAACCGGAGCUAAUACCGGAUAAUAUUAUGAACCGCAUGGUUCAAAAGUGAAAGACGGUCUUGCUGUCACUUAUAGAUGGAUCCGCGCUGCAUUAGCUAGUUGGUAAGGUAACGGCUUACCAAGGCAACGAUGCAUAGCCGACCUGGGAGGGUGAUCGGCCACACUGGAACUGAGACACGGUCCAGACUCCUACGGGAGGCAGCAGUAGGGAAUCUUCCGCAAUGGGCGAAAGCCUGACGGAGCAACGCCGCGUGAGUGAUGAAGGUCUUCGGAUCGUAAAACUCUGUUAUUAGGGAAGAACAUAUGUGUAAGUAACUGUGCACAUCUUGACGGUACCUAAUCAGAAAGCCACGGCUAACUACGUG
rnacentral:rRNA from 1 species